GGUGCGGCCCCAUUUUUGACUGCAUGUGAAUACAGUUUGAAGCUUCACAGUGUGCUUACACAGUGGCACCAUCAUCUGUCCACAAAAGGAAUUACAGGGGAAACAACGCAGGCUUGUUAGGAAGUCGGGGUCAGAGCACAGGGUCAGCCAUUAUAUGGUGCCCCAGGAGCUUGCUCAAGGGCUCAACAGUGGCAGUUUAGCAUUGCUAGGGCUUGAACUCCUGCCUUCUGCUUAGUAAUCAAGAGCCUUAACCCUCCAGACACCAGGAGUUGCAUCAGCUGAACAACAGUCUGAUGCUCAUUACAACUGUGUUUGUCCAAAACAAUGGCUCAAAGUAAUGAAAAAGACUGCUGGGAGCCUGAGCUGAUUGGAAGAGAGAAAAUCAAUUUCUGAUGACAAUCCCGCACGCCGAAAUGAAAGGCUCAGAGUUCCAGAGUCUUGGGAAAGUUGCCUCUGGAGACGGACACUAAUCUCGACAGAAUGAAUCAUUCACACUCUUAUUUGGACAUCUGUGUUAACUUUUUCUCCCCCUCCUCCUUCUCCUUCCCCUGCCAAAGUUUCCCUCAUCCAUGAUGGUUUUAUUAGAAGUUGUCACAGGUGGCUGAAAGUUCAGCAGUUCAGUUGGACUGAAGGUUUCCUCAUAAAGAAAA